AAGCUGUGGACCAAACUGUUCUUCAUACAAUCCGUUGAAUGGUAAAAGUUUCUGGUGGAUGCUAGACUGGUUGGCAUCGACCAGCCGGUCAAACCCAGGUAGGUAAACUGCUCAUGACAAGGUCAAGGGAUAAAGAGAUUGUGUUAUUGUCGUUUCUUUUCUCAAAAUCAUGCUGUUCUUUUCAUAGUUUAUCCUAUUGUGCUCAUGACUUAUGUAACAGUAAAAAAUCCUGAUUCAUGGGGACAAGUGGUGAACAAUCAGUCUGGCUAUGACUGGUUGCUGUAUGAUUGACAAGAAACAAAUGUGGAAUUACGCAUUCUUACCUGGUGGCACAUUCUCAAGCUAGACCACUGGAUGAUGGUGGCUCCGUUUCCAACCAGUCCCAAAUAAAGAAAGGAGACACAAGUUCAUACUUAUGGUUGGUAAAGCCGGUUUGGCUGAGUAAGAACAGAGGCGGUUAGAAGUUGAAGGAAGACUGCACAUCUGAAUAUUUUAGUUGUGCAUAUGAACCCAGAGUCCAGUGGGUUGUUAAGGUCAGAUGAGACUGGGGAGGCCAAGAAAGUGCCAAAAUCAUUCAUCAGGGCAAUUAGCAGCAUACACAAGAUCAGAAAACGUGAUCUGGAUCAUUGGUAUUUGGUCAUUGGGAGCCAAAAAGAAAGUUGGUUAAGAAGGUGAAUUCCAUUUUUUGUGAUUGUUGGGUGGAGUGGUUCAAGGCCACCCUACCCAAAUUGUACUGUGCCAUUACAUAUUCUUGUGGUACAAACUUAACCAGUGUUGUUGGAGUGAAGU